rnacentral:lncRNA from 1 species
GAGAAUUGUCAGCCCUAGAGACGAUCACCAAUCGACCAGGAUCUUCCACCACCUCUCCCUCUGUCGCCUCAAGAAAAUAUCGCUCUUCUCAAUAUAGGGGACAACCGAACGACCGGUGACACAACGGAUGACCAUUGACCCCAACUGCCAUAAGGUGAUUUGAAUGAAACAUUAGUUUUUUUAAUAUCGGGUAUCACUUAAAUAUUUUGGGAGACAACAAAUCGAUACGUCGGCAUCCGUUCUUCAUUUUUUAUCGAACCCAAAAUCCUUCUUCCUCCAAGAAGUAAGUUCUUCACUCCAAUUUGUAGUUGAAUUUUGUUUAUUUUUGUUGAUUCUGUCCAGAACAAAAGAAAAAAAAAAGAAAAAGGAAAAAAUAGCAUAACAUACGAUCGAAUUUGAUUCAAUAGGUGAUGUUGUUAUUUCCAACAAGGCUCUCAUAAAACAAGAUGUAUCCAUGGUUAGUGUUGCUUGCAUACUCCUAAGCCGAACUAAAUGAAGUUUGAACUGCUGAAUCAUCAAUCAUCUCCACAUUCUCAUCAUCAAAGAAGUGCCGGUGGUUGUGGCUUUUCACCAGACUCGCAUAAUGCCCAUGGUUGGGCCCACUGCCAACAUGGACCAUCACCACGAAUAGAGAUUACUCACAGUCAGCAUCUUCCAUGGUGUUUGUUAGCUUCAGCUCAAGGGGAAACACAACACGGUAUGACAACUUCUUGUACCUUCCCAGCUGCUCCAUGUAUUGAAACGUUUCAAAUGUAUCACUAGAAUAUGCAGUUGUUUCUUGAUCUUCAUCCUCUUUUGUGCUUCCUGCAAACUAUGGGCCCCCACAAAACAUUUUUACACUUCAUAAAAAUGAAAACCAUUAUCACAAAAAUAAAAUAUUGUUGAGAAAGAAAGUAGAGAAACCUGCAGCAGUUAUCACAUAAAAACUUAUCCUCAACAUUUAAGGUCUCAGUGGAACUGAAAUUCUUUAGGCAACUUGUAAUGGAACUGUUUUGCUCAAUAUCAAGGCUCAGAUCUAAGAAUAUUUCAUCUCUUGCAGUUACAGUCUCACAUCUUAAACACUUUGUUUCAUUUGUCAGUAUACCCUGAAAUUCAAAAAAUAGGACAACCUCAUCAUAUAAUACCACAUCAUAAUUUCACUAAUUUUAUUUAUGCUUUACUGAUAGGGUUUUAUGCAGAAGAGUCACAUUACUUUGGGAAAAUCACAAAGUAUUUCAUUUCCUAUAAAAAUAAAAUAAAAAAUGACUUUUUUGUUAAUUUGGGCAAAAUGUUAAAUAAUCGAGACUUUUCUGUCCAAAAAAAAUGUAGGACCUGAAAGUUUUUAUGAUAAACUAGGAUAAUAGCUUUCAUUGGCGAUGCUAUAAUAUGAUCUAUUAAUGAUUAGUAGAGUUGUUGAAUAAACCUGAAAGUUUUUGUGAACCCAUGUAACCAAGGGCUCCUUACUUAGACCAUUAGCCUGAGGCAUAUGUAUACCAUUGGCAAUCUUUUCAGGAGGUAAUGAUGAUGCUUUUGAUAUUGUUUUCUGGGAGGUUAAAUGUUUUAGAGAUAUUGUCGUGUGAUUGAAUUUCUCAUUUGUCUGUGAGGGGGAAAGGAUGAGUGUAAUAACCUUAUGUUAGUUAACAGAUAUCAGUAAAGGAAUCUACAUUUGGACUCUAAGUUGUUUAACAACAUACACAUCUAAAAGACUAAAGUGACCUCCAUAUUGUCCUUGAAUUGAUUUACCAUGAAUGCAUGUUUGAUCACUUGAAUCCAAAAAAAGAUUUUUUUUAAAAAAAUCAAACUGAAAUUGUACAAUUUAAUAAAAGAGAAUUUCUAAUGGGUAAAAAAAUUAUAUUAUUGCCACUUAUGACUUAAAAUGUAAGUACAACACACAUUUCUAAUGUUAUUACCCUGAACAGAUUUACCAUCAAUGCAUGUUUGAUCAUUUGAAUCCAAAAACUAAUUUAAAAAAAAUAAACGAAUGAAAAUAUGGUGUAAUUAUAGAGUACAAAUCCCCCCCCCCCUUUUUAAAAAAAGUCAAGAAAAGUAGUUUGCUUGUAUGUUUCUAUGAGUAUAGGCAAGAAAACAAAAAAAAAAUGAAAAUUUGUUGUAAUAAAAACCAUUAUAACCCCACCCUGUGCCAUAAACUUAUUUGAGUUGGUGGUCAUCGGAAAUACCAUUUGAUUUUAUCACAAAUGGCCGCUAUAACCGGUGCUGUCAAGAAAUAGCAACGUACUCUCAGUAUUAAAUUUUAAAAUAAACGAAAAUGGAGAAUGCAGGGGCAAUUUAGGUAUACUGGUAUUUUUUUUUAUUUAAUCUUAUUUUUCCUGUUAUUAAAGAACAACGAACAUUAGCCUAACUUUUAAACUUACAUUAGGUUGACAUGAAUUAAAGGGGAAACAAAAGGGUCAAAAUGACAAUAUUGAACAAAAAAAUAUAUAUUGUUUUAAUUGUUUCAUAUCAAUGUACUUUUGUUUUUUAUGUUUAAGUCGGCAAAUUACGAAAAAGUAUUUUUGAAUCAAAUCAAGGUCAUUUUGACUCCAAAUUUCUUCAACUUAACAGUUUAGGAAGUAUAAUGCCAAAAUGGAAUGUAUUUAAAAAAAAUAAACUUUCUAUGACCUCAAUAUUAAAAUUUUAAAGUAAACAUAAAUGGAAGUUGCAAGGGCAAUUUAGGUAUAUUGGUCUGCUGUUUUAAUUUUAUUGUAUUUUUCCUGUUAUUUAAGAACAAUGAAUAUUAGCCAAACUUUUAAGCUACAAUGAAUAUUAGCUAAACUUUUAAACUGUAUAUUUGGUUGACAUGACAAAAAAGGAAAAAAGAUGGUCAAAAUGACAAUUUUGAACAAAAAAUAAUUUGUUUUAAGUGGGUAAAUUACGAAGAAAAAAAAAGUAAAAAUGACCAAAUUGGACAAAAAGGUCAUUUUGAGUAAAAAAUGUCAUUUUGACUCCGAAUUUCUUCCACUUAGCGGUUUAGGAAGUAUAAUGCUAAUAUGAGACUUAUUUAAAAAUAUCAAACUUUCUGCUUGUGGUCUCAUUUUGUGAUUACAGGUGAUCUAAACUAAAGUAGAAUAAUGAAUAAUUUAUUUUUAUAUAAAUGUCUAAAAAUAUAGCAUUCUAUUUUUAAAAAAAUGCUACCCUUAGCUGUGAACUUAUCCAAUUCACCUGGUGUUAUUUUUUAACAUCUAUUUUGCAACUGCUUUUAAUAAUUGUUUUCAUUUUUUUAGUUUUUUUUUACAUGUAUUCAUAGAAACAUAAAAACACCAAAGUACCUUGCUUCAUUGUUAUUUUUUUAAAAGGGGCAAAUUUCGAUCAGAUGCAAUUAUGUAUUUCUCAUGCAUGGAGUGUUUAUGUAAUUUUGUAUUUGUCAUACCAAUUGUAUGAAAUGUGUGUAUGUGUUGUAAAUAAAAUGAGAAUAUGGUCAUUGUUAUUAUAAAGUAUAAAAUUUCCCUUUUUAAAAAAAUAAAAUCAUGAAAUCGUACUUUGUUGUUUAUAUGUUUCUAUGAGUAAAGGUAAAAAAAUGAAAAUUUGUCAUUAUAAAAUUUUAAAGUAAACAGAAGUGGAGAAUGCAGGGACAAUUUGGGUAUAUUGGUGUAUUAUUUUAUUUUAUCAUAUUUUUCCUGUUAUUAAAGAACAAACAUUAACAAAGCAUUUAAACUAUACAUUGAGUUGACAUGAAGAAAUGAUCAAAAUGACAAUUUUGAAAAAAAAUAUUUUUUAUUUUAAUUGUUUCGUAUAAAUGUAAAGCUAUUUUUUAUGUUUAAGUGGGCAAAUUACUUAAAAAAACCCAUUAAAAAUGAUCAAAUUUGACAAAAUGGUAUUUUUGAGUCAAAAUAAGGUCAUUUUGACUCGGAAUUUCUUUAACCUAUUAGUUUAAGAAGUAUAAGGCUAAAAUGAGACCUAUUAAAAGAAAAUAAAAUUUGUGCUUAUGACCUCAAUAUUAAAGUUUUAAGGUAAACACAAUUGGAGGUUGCAGGGGCAAUUUUGGUUAAUAAUGUAAUUAGUUAGUAAAUUUUAUGUAAUUUAAGAAAAAUGAAAAAUACCAUAAUUGCCAAAUGAAAAAAGAUAAAUGAAAAUAAUAAGAAAAAACCGCUUUAGAAGAUUGCAAAUGACAAAAACAUUCAUACUUAUUAGGGUAGAUUCUUUAUCACAUAUUGUAAUGGGUUUCAUCAUAUUUUCAAAACCAUGAACUUUACUUUCUUUAGUUGUUAAAUAACAAACAAAUAUUUUUUUGUUAUAUUUUUUUCAUAAAAUUAAUAGUUAGUUAAUGUAACUUAUUUUGCUUUGAUAAACAUUUAGAUAGAAAAGAAUAAUUUAAUAAUAUAUAUAAUGUAUUUUUGUCAUUUUAUAUUUAUAUUUAAAAGGGUAAAAAAUAUUUGUCAAACAUAAUGGAUGUUUUAAAGUUGUUUUACUCUAAUAACGUAUAAUAUACAUAAGUUAUGAAUAUUGUUUUUCCUUUUCAACUGUGGUUUCUACGAGUUUAAAUUUAUUAUAAGUCGUUUCAUACAAAUAAUAUGUUGCAUUAUAUAAACUCACGACUUUUAUAAAAUAUGUGGAUUUACAUGUGUAAUUAAAUAGUUACAAAUUACAAAGUUAUUAAAAAAUACAAUACUACAAUUCAUAAGUUUUUCUAAAUUAAUGAUAUAUUAUUUUAUUAUAUAAACAAUUUUUUAAUUCUAUUUAAAAUUAUUACCCGUGGGUUCCACAGGUUUUAACCUAGUGUGUGUAUAUAUAUAUNNNNNNNNNNNNNNNNNNNNUUAAGGAAUAGUAUAGUAAUAUAGUUUAAUCAAUUUGGGUUUUGCCACACUUCUUUAGCAAUUUUGACAGUUUUGGUCGCUCUUUAAUUUUUUCAAAUUUUUGCCACAAAAGUUUCAAUAUUUUGCCACUUUUGGUAAUAUGUGCGGUAUGCUCUGGGGAACUCACUAACCAUUAGCUUACAGUUUGUGGAUUUGUUUUAGGUACAUCUGAGCCCAAGGGCAAGGGCAAGG